rnacentral:misc_RNA from 1 species
AGUUCACCCCUAAAUUUUAUUAAAAAUUUUUUUAUGACAUUUUAAAUUUUUAAAGUAUCUCAUAACACAUCUCAACUCUUAUAAACGUCCCAUAUCAUGUAUACCUUAACUCCUGUAAAAAGUAAAAUUAAAAUACCAUUUAAAUCCUAAUUAGUAGAUCGCUAUGUCAGCGCGAUUAGAGUUCACACUCGAUUUCAAGGAUAUUUUAAUUCCACUUUAUAAAAGUUAAAGUGUGUUAUGGGACGUUUUAAAGUGUCACAAUGCCAGAAUUUUUUUUUUAUACAAUUCAAGUGUGAAAUGGUGUAUCGCCAUUUUUUAAAAUUCUCAACCACUCAUUGUGAAGGGUAAAUAACAUUAAAACAUGAUACAUAAUGUUUCUAUGAAUCUAAAACCAUUUUAAUUUACUUAGACCCAAUUAAUCAAUUAUAGAUAUAAGAUAUAAAUAUGUGAUUGUCAUCUAUUUUAUACAUGAAUCUCAUUGCACAUUGUUAUGUUUUAAGUCUAUAAUAAACUGAGUUUAAAUAAAAAAAUUUUCAUUUAUUAAUUACAACUUGAAAUUACUAAAAACGAAAACUAAAGCAACCCACAAAGGAUUGGCCAAGUGGUAAUGUGCACUUGUACCUCAUGCUUAAGCAGGUUUGAAUAAUGGAGUCACCAUUCAUGGGGAGAGACUCUGACAUAAAUCCUAUCUUGAACAUUCAAAAAAAAAACAAAAAUUAAUAUCCAAAAUUUUUAGGCCUUGGAACAUCUUUAAACUGAAAAUCCAAAUUAUUAUGAAAAAAAAAAUCCUAAUUAUUUAAGAUGGUAAAAUUUAUAAUGGGAGUAUAAUUAAUAAAUGUGGCAGGGGCACAUACCAUAGGCCAAACGGACUGCAUAUUCUUCAGAUAUCGGCUAUACAAUUUCACAACAACAGGCAAUGCAGACCCAACAAUAAACCAAUCAUUCCUGAGACAACUCCAAGCCCUUUGUCCCCAAAAUGGAGAUGGGUCGAAAAGGGUAGCAUUAGACAAAGACAGCCAGACAAAAUUCGAUGCAAGCUUUUUUAAGAAUGUAAGAGAUGGUAAUGGAGUUUUGGAGUCUGACCAGAGACUUUGGGAUGAUGCUUCUACCCGUAAUAUUGUCCAAAAUUAUGCUGGCGACAUUAGAGGAUUACUUGGUUUUAGGUUUGAUUUCGACUUCUCUAAAGCUAUGAUUAAAAUGAGUAGCAUUGAAGUCAAGACUGGAUCAGAUGGAGAUAUCAGAAAGGUUUGCUCUAAGUUCAAUUGAGAUCAUUAAUUGUAAGAUAAAUAAAUAAUUUAUAAAAAUUAUGUCUUCUGAUGUGUCUUAUAUUUGUAAAUUCCACAUAUAAUAAAUUUAGAAAUAAUUUAAAUUAUUGUUGAAUCCUGAAUGUUGGAUUGGACAUAUUCUAUAAUUUUCAAACUUUCCAUCAAUUAUUCUUUAUUUGGAGAUUGGUAUGUGGUGUAAUUCCCACUAAGGACAGGAUGAUUCAUCGCCAUUUGGAGGUGGAUGAGAUUUGUUCAAUUUGCGGACAGGAGGCUGAAACAAGUAUGCACCUGUUCUUUCAAUGCCCUGUCAGCUCCAGGGUGUGGUAUCUUAGCCAGCUUAGGUUCAAUGUGCUUCAGAUAUCUGUUGAUGAUCCACCUGCGUUAUUGAACCAGCUAUUUUAGAAUUUUCCUCCAGAGUACAUGGAGCUUUCGCACUUCUCACAUGGUCCAUCUGGCUGGCUCGAAAUGAUCAUAUUUUCAGAAAUGGGAAUGUAGAUGAAAAUCAGAUUAUAGCUAGUGAUUAUCGACUCUGGAUUAAUGAGUCCCUGGAAGCUCAAGAUGUCCCAGUUCUGCUAGAGAAGCCUACUGUCAUGCAUAAGUGGACACCUCCUUCAGGGUAGCAUAAGCUCAACUCAGAUGCUACUGUUUCUAAGGAGGGUGUGAUAGGCCUGGGAUUUGUUAUCCGUGAUUCACAAGGACAAAUUCUGCUAGCGGCUGCUAAAUCUUUUCGAGCCUCUUGGGAAGGUAAUUUGGCGGAAAUCCAUGCUCUGAAAUUUGGGUUCGAAAUAGCUGUUUAGUGGGGGUUUUCUUUUCUGCAAAUAGAGAGUGAUAAUCAGAACUCCAUCAAUGCGUUGAAUGGAGGGGCCAUUGGGGAUCCAUAUCACGCUCUGUGCGUUAAGGAUGUGUUAUCAUUCACGAGAACUUUUUUCAUUCAUCUGCUUUUUGUAUGUUCAUAUAUUAAAUUAUACAAUGAAACCGAACCAUUAAUUGUGGUGGGUUACAACAAUUAUA